rnacentral:rRNA from 1 species
AGAGUUUGAUCCUGGCUCAGGAUGAACGCUGGCGGCAUGCCUAACACAUGCAAGUCGAACGGGGUUUAUAUAACAGAACUCUCCGGAGGGAAGAUAUAUAAACCUAGUGGCGGACGGGUGAGUAACGCGUGGGCAACCUGCCCUGUACCGGGGGACAACAGCCAGAAAUGGCUGCUAAUACCGCAUAAGCCUGCUGUGCCGCAUGGCACAGCAGGGAAAACCACGGUGGUACAGGAUGGGCCCGCGUCUGAUUAGUUAGUUGGCAGGGUAACGGCCUACCAAGACAACGAUCAGUAGCCGGCUUGAGAGAGUGGACGGCCACAUUGGGACUGAGACACGGCCCAGACUCCUGCGGGAGGCAGCAGUGGGGAAUAUUGCACAAUGGGGGGAACCCUGAUGCAGCAAUGCCGCGUGGGUGAAGAAGCACUCCGGUGCGUAAAGCCCUGUCAGCAGGGAAGAAAAUGACAGUACCUGACCAAGAAGCCCCGGCUAACUACGUGCCAGCAGCCGCGGUAAUACGUAGAGGGCAAGCGUUAUCCGGAUUUACUGGGUGUAAAGGGAGCGCAGGCGGCGUGGCAAGUCUGAUGUGAAAGUCCGGGGGUUCACCCCGGUCCUGCAUUGGAAACUGUCGGUCUAGAGUGCAGGAGAGGUAAGUGGAAUUCGUAGUGUAGCGGUGAAAUGAGUAGAUAUCUAGGAGGAACACCAGUGGCGAAGGCGGCUUACUGGUGCGCAACUGACGUUCAGGCUCGAAAGCGUGGGGAUCAAACAGGAUUAGAUACCCUGGUAGUCCACGCAGUAAACGAUGAUUGCUACGUGUUGGGCCGCAGAGACCGUUGAGCGCGGCAGCGAAAGCAAUAAGCAAUCCACCUGGGGAGUACGUCGGCAAGGAUGAAACUCAAAGGAAUUGACGGGGGCCCGCACAAGCGGAGGAACAUGUGGUUUAAUUCGAUGAUACGCGAGGAACCUUACCCGGGCUCAAACGCAUAAUGACGACAGUUGAAAGAUUGUUUCCCUUCGGGGCAUUAUGCGAGGUGCUGCAUGGUUGUCGUCAGCUCGUGCCGUGAGGUGUCGGCUUAAGUGCCAUAACGAGCGCAACCCCUAUCGACAGUUGCUAACGAGUCGAGUCGAGGACUCUGUCGAGACUGCCGGCGCAAGCUGUGAGGAAGGCGGGGAUGACGUCAAAUCAGCACGGCCCUUACGUCCGGGGCGACACACGUGUUACAAUGGCAGGGACAGCGGGAAGCCACCAAGCGAUUGGGCGCGGAACCCGAAACCCUGUCUCAGUUCGAAUUGGAGUCUGCAACUCGACUCCAUGAAGCUGGAUUCGCUAGUAAUCGCGCAUCAGCCAUGGCGCGGUGAAUACGUUCCCGGGCCUUGUACUCACCGCCCGUCA